UGCCAGCCGCCGCGGUAAUACGGAGGGUGCGAGCGUUAAUCGGAAUUACUGGGCGUAAAGAGCACGCAGGCGGUUUAGUAAGCGGGAUGUGAAAGCCCUGGGCUCAACCUGGGAACUGCAUUCCGAACUGCUGGGCUAGGGUACAGAAGAGGGCAGUGGAAUUCCUGGUGUAGCGGUGAAAUGCGUAGAUAUCAGGAGGAACAUCAGUGGCGAAGGCGGCCGUCUGGUCUGAUACUGACGCUGAGGUGCGAAAGCGUGGGGAGCAAACAGGAUUAGAUA
rnacentral:rRNA from 1 species